GACGAACGCUGGCGGCGUGCUUAACACAUGCAAGUCGAACGGAAAGGCCCUGCUUUUGUGGGGUGCUCGAGUGGCGAACGGGUGAGUAACACGUGAGUAACCUGCCCUUGACUUUGGGAUAACUUCAGGAAACUGGGGCUAAUACCGGAUAGGAGCUCCUGCUGCAUGGUGGGGGUUGGAAAGUUUCGGCGGUUGGGGAUGGACUCGCGGCUUAUCAGCUUGUUGGUGGGGUAGUGGCUUACCAAGGCAUUGACGGGCAGCCGGCCUGAGAGGGUGGCCGGCCACAUUGGGACUGAGAUACGGCCCAGCCUCCUACGUGAGGCAGCAGUGGGGAAUAUUGCACAAUGGGCGGAAGCCUGAUGCAGCAACGCCGCGUGCGGGGUGACGGCCUUCGUGUUGUAAACCGCUUUCGCCUGUGACGAAGCGUGAGUGACGGUAAUGGGUAAAGAAGCACCGGCUAACUACGUG
rnacentral:rRNA from 1 species